rnacentral:rRNA from 1 species
CUACGGGUCGCAGCAGUGAGGGAUAUUGCACAAUGGGGGGAGCCCUGAUGCAGCAACGCCGCGUGGAGGAUGACGCAUUUCGGUGUGUAAACUCCUUUUAUAUGUCAAGAAAAUGACGGUAGCAUAUGAAUAAGCACCGGCUAACUCCGUGCCAGCAGCCGCGGUAAUACGGAGGGUGCAAGCGUUACUCGGAAUCACUGGGCGUAAAGGACGCGUAGGCGGGUUGGAAAGUCAGGUGUGAAAUCCUACAGCUUAACUGUAGAACUGCACUUGAAACUUCUAAUCUAGAGUAUGGGAGGGGGAGAUGGAAUUAGUGGUGUAGGGGUAAAAUCCGUAGAUAUCACUAGGAAUACCUAAAGCGAAGGCGAUCUCCUGGAACAUUACUGACGCUAAGGCGUGAAAGCGUGGGGAGCAAACAGGAUUAGAUACCCCAGUAGUC